GACGAACGCUGGCGGCGCGCUUAACACAUGCAAGUCGAACGGAAAGGCCUGCUUUCCCUUGUGGAUUGCGGGUACUCGAGUGGCGAACGGGUGAGUAACACGUGAGUGAUCUGCCCCCAACUUGGGUAUAAGCCUGGGAAACUGGGUCUAAUUCCCGAUAGGACUGCAGGGUGGUGCCUGUGGUGGAAAACGAUUUUCUAGUGGUUGGGGAUGAGCUCGCGGCCUAUCAGCUUGUUGGUGGGGUAAUGGCCUACCAAGGCGGCGACGGGUAGCCGGCCUGGGAGGGUGGGCGGCCGCAUUGGGACUGAGAUACGGCCCAGACUCCUACGGGAGGCAGCAGUGGGGAAUAUUGCACGAUGGGCGGAAGCCUGAUGCAGGGACGCCGCGUGGGGGAUGACGGCCGUCGGGUUGUAAACUCCUUUCGACCGCGAGGAAGCCACCUGGUUGGAAGGGUGGUGACGGUAGUGGUAGAAGAAGCACCGGCUAACUACGUG
rnacentral:rRNA from 1 species